UGAGGAACAUUAAGUAGAGGAAAGCUUAUGUCAGAAAGUUCCUCCUCUAUAUGUCAGGAAGGGGCACUGACAUAAAUAUGACCCUGUUGUUUUUAAACGACAUGGUAAAACUGAAUGGGUACCUCAAUCAACUCAGUUCCACACUGAAGCCCACGAGCCAGAAACAUGUCCUUAUAGACAUAGAGACGUUCCUGAAGUUCAUAAGGCUGGCUAAUGUACCCAAAGUACGGAUGACAAUUAAAACCAUCACGUAAAUUUUGGACAAGUUGGCUGCGUGGAAAAAGGGGUUAGGGGCACAAAUCGUCCUGCAGAGAUUGGAAUAUAAAAGAAAAAAAGAAAGCGAAACUGAUGGCAAGCAAGGACAUUCUGUCAUUCAUAAAGCUGGCAGAAAUCGGCCUUGAGCUUGCCAUCCGUGACCUCAGGACAGACCCCACCAACAUGCGCUACCUGGCCCAAGCUGUUGG